AAGCAUCACUCAAUUGUGUUGGCACUGACCUCCACUGCUCCACUGGAGGCAGGAUAUGAGACUGGAUGAAUCAAUAGUUUGACUGUGGUAUAGUGGUGGUGUCUAUAAGGUAGUUACCUCCAUGAUUAUUCCCUUAUGGCUCAAAAGAUGUUCAUUCCCAUAUUAAUAAAAGCAGGACGGUGUCAUGAUCGGGUCAGGACAGCACUGAC